GCGUGCUGUCAGACUGGCUCGCAGGCGACGCGGCCGGCGGACCCGUUCAAGACAGCGCGGGCGGCUCGGGUCCCCUGGGGCUCCGCAGCAGGAGGACGCCAUGGACGACAAGGAGUUAAUUGAAUACUUUAAGUCUCAGAUGAAAGAAGAUCCUGACAUGGCCUCAGCAGUGGCUGCCAUCAGGACGUUGCUGGAGUUCUUGAAGAGAGAUAAAGGGGAGACAAUCCAGGGUCUGAGGGCAAAUCUCACCAGUGCCAUAGAAACCCUGUGUGGUGUGGACUCCUCCGUGGCAGUGUCCUCUGGCGGGGAGCUCUUCCUCCGCUUCAUCAGCCUUGCCUCCCUGGAAUACUCUUUUGCUCUUUUCUUCCUAGGAUUACUCCAAAUGUAAAAAGAUCAUGAUUGAGCGGGGAGAACUUUUUCUCA
rnacentral:sRNA from 1 species